rnacentral:rRNA from 1 species
UACGAAGGGGGCUAGCGUUGCUCGGAAUGACUGGGCGUAAAGGGCGCGUAGGCGGAUGGCACAGUCAGAUGUGAAAUUCCCGGGCUUAACCUGGGGGCUGCAUUUGAUACGUGUUGUCUUGAGUUCGGAAGAGGGUCGUGGAAUUCCCAGUGUAGAGGUGAAAUUCGUAGAUAUUGGGAAGAACACCGGUGGCGAAGGCGGCGACCUGGUCCGACACUGACGCUGAGGCGCGAAAGCUGGGGGGAGCAAACAGG